AUUGAACGCUGGCGGCAUGCCUUACACAUGCAAGUCGAACGGCAGCACGGGGCAACCUGGUGGCGAGUGGCGAACGGGUGAGUAAUGCAUCGGAACGUACCUUUCAGUGGGGGAUAACGUAGCGAAAGUUACGCUAAUACCGCAUAUUCUGUGAGCAGGAAAGCAGGGGAUCGCAAGACCUUGCGCUGAUUGAGCGGCCGAUGUCAGAUUAGCUAGUUGGUGAGGUAAAGGCUCACCAAGGCGACGAUCUGUAGCGGGUCUGAGAGGAUGAUCCGCCACACUGGAACUGAGACACGGUUCAGACUCCUACGGGAGGCAGCAGUGGGGAAUUUUGGACAAUGGGGGCAACCCUGAUCCAGCCAUGCCGCGUGAGUGAAGAAGGCCUUCGGGUUGUAAAGCUCUUUCGGCCGGGAAGAAAUCGCACGGGCUAAUACCCUGUGUGGAUAACGGUACCGGAAUAAGAGGCACCGGCUAACUACGUGCCAGCCGCCGCCGUAAUAC
rnacentral:rRNA from 1 species